UUAUAUUGUGUCAUACUUGUCACUCUGUUCCCAAUAAGUGGUAUCAGAGCUAUUGGUUGUGAUUUUAUUUGAGGUUUUCUGUUAUCGAUAGCAGUUAUGAAGUAUGAAAUUUCGCUUUUGGAUCAUAAUACAAGAUUUUCAUUGUGGUAAGUGAAGAUGCUAGCUGUAUUGGUGCAGAUGGACUUAGAUGAUGUGUUGUUGGGAUUGGACAACAGAGGAGAAAUGGAAGGAUCGAAAGGUACUUUCGAUAUUCAUCUUUAUUUAUCUAACAUUCUUUAGGACGUUUUGAAGGAGAAGACAACUGCUACAUUGUAAUUGAAGUUGGAGAAAUUAUGGAUGGCUCAAACUCAGAUGAGCAAAUUGCAUUUAAAGUAGAGGUUGUAUUCUCAUCGUAUGACAAAAUACGGAUCUUUAAAAGAUCAUUUGACUAUACUCAAGAAGAUUGUCACUAAUUUAGAGACAUUAGAAAUAAAGUAUGAUGAAUAAGAUUUGACCUUAAUCUUGUUGUGUUUGCUGCUCGAUUCGUUUAUUUUGUUUAGGGACACGUUUUGUAUAGUUGUGAUACUCUCAUCUUUGAAGACGUCUAUGAUACCCAGCUCUAAAAGGAGAAUAUCGAACUCUAGGUUGAAUUUGAGUCCAGAGUUGAAGGUCUUGUGGCUUAUGGUGAUCAACGAAUGGGUAAGUCAAGGUCGAGUUUCAAUAAUUAGGUUUGUUUUUAUUGCAAGAAUAAAUGAUACAUUAAGAGAGAUUACAAAAAAUUGCAUAAUAAAAGUACUUCGACUAUAAAUCACAAGAAGUAGUCAAACAC
rnacentral:lncRNA from 1 species